GCAGUUUGGGUGAUUUCGAAGAUAGGUAAUGGUUAUUUCACAUUUAAUAGUUUUUGUUUUUGCACGAAAAUGGGAUGCAAUUUCAGCAACAUGAGUUUUUUUUUUUUUUUUCAUUGACAAGCUGUAGAGAAGCAAGAGCUAGGAAGAACAAGUACAUGAUCUUUGAUGGUGAUAGUUACUGUGUGGGAUGAGUACAUUGAUACCAUGUGUUGAAAACUCAGACAGAGACUUACAGGAAGUAGGUAAGGAAGAUGGAAGAAAGGCAUAGAAAUCUCCUACUGGACCAUCUGAGAAAGACAAGGAAUUUUUUGAAGAUAAGCUAUCUUCCAGUGCAACAGCUCUUGAUAAUUUGCACAACCAAAUGAAGACGUCGUCUUUGAGAUUUGAGUCUUCAGAGGAAAUUUUUGGAAAUUUCAAGUUAUCCUUAUUUCCUAUAUCAUAAAAAGUUCUCAGAUAACUUCCAAUAAUAAGAAUUGUCGAUGCUGCCAAACAGAAGCUUAUCAUAAAUUUGCAAAAGAGAGUUGAAAGAACUCAGCAUUGAAAAAGAGGAGAGGGAGAAAUAUUUCAGAGAUGAACAGUGCAAAACUACCAAUGUCAAUGAGGAAAAAGAUGCUAUGAUCAAGCAUUUGGAAGCAACUGUAUCUGCUACCAGAUUGGAUAUGGAGAGCUUAAACUCAAAGAUGGAAGAGUUGCAUGUUGGUUUGAAAUUUAAGGAGGACGACAUUCAAGUUUGAGAAUCUCAGAAGAGAUGUAGGAGAAAGAAAAGAAUGUUCUAAAAUGUGUGUAAGUGACAUUGAAUGAAUUGACAAAAAAAAUGUAGAUAUCCCUCACGAGGAUGGAGGACAAGGUGAGGAUGAGGGACACGAAGAAGAG